rnacentral:rRNA from 2 species
UUAACGCUCGCUGUGUGCCUAAUACAUGCAUGUUGAACGGGAUGUAGCAAUACAUUCAGUAGCGAAUGGGUGAGUAACACGUACCUAACCUACCUUUAAGACUGGGAUAACUAUUGGAAACAAUAGCUAAUACCGGAUAUAGUUAUUUAUCGCAUGAUGAGUAAUAGAAAGGAGCUUCACAGCUUCACUUAAAAAUGGGGGYGCGGAACAUUAGUUAGUUGGUAGGGUAAUGGCCUACCAAGACGAUGAUGUUUAGCCGGGACGAGAGGCUGUACGGCCACACUGGGACUGAGAUACGGCCCAGACUCCUACGGGGGGCAGCAGUAAGGAAUUUUCCACAAUGAGCGAAAGCUUGAUGGAGCGACACAGCGUGCAGGAUGAAGUUCUUCGGAAUGUAAACUGCUGUUAUAAGGGAAGAAAAAAUAGAAUAGGAAAUGAUUUUAUCUUGACGGUACCUUAUUAGAAAGCGACGGCAAACUAUGUGCCAGCAGCCGCGGUAAUACAUAGGUCGCAAGCGUUAUCCGGAAUUAUUGGGCGUAAAGCGUCCGUAGGUUUUUUGCUAAGUCUGGAGUUAAAUGCUGAAGCUCAACUUCAGUCCGCUUUGGGUACUGGCAAAAUAGAAUUAUAAAGAGGUUAGCGGAAUUCCUAGUGAAGCGGUGGAAUGCGUAGAUAUUAGGAAGAACACCAAUAGGCGAAGGCAGCUAACUGGUUAUAUAUUGACACUAAGGGACGAAAGCGUGGGGAGCAAACAGGAUUAGAUACCCUGGUAGUCCACGCCGUAAACGAUGAUCAUUAGUUGGUGGAAUAAUUUCACUAACGCAGCUAACGCGUUAAAUGAUCCGCCUGAGUAGUAUGCUCGCAAGAGUGAAACUUAAAGGAAUUGACGGGAACCCGCACAAGCGGUGGAGCAUGUGGUUUAAUUUGAUUCUACGCGUAGAACCUUACCCACUCUUGACAUCUUCUGCAAAGCUAUAGAGAUAUAGUGGAGGUUAACAGAAUGACAGAUGGUGCAUGGUUGUCGUCAGCUCGUGUCGUGAGAUGUUAGGUUAAGUCCUGCAACGAGCGCAACCCUUUUCUUUAGUUACUAAUAUUAAGUUAAGGACUCUAGAGAUACUUGCCUGGGUAACCAGGAGGAAGGUGGGGACGACGUCAAAUCAUCAUGCCUCUUACGAGUGGGGCAACACACGUGCUACAAUGGUCGGUACAAAGAGAAGCAAUAUGGUGACAUGGAGCAAAUCUCAAAAAACCGAUCUCAGUUCGGAUUGAAGUCUGCAACUCGACUUCAUGAAGUCGGAAUCGCUAGUAAUCGUAGAUCAGCUACGCUACGGUGAAUACGUUCUCGGGUUUUGUACACACCGCCCGACACACCAUGGGAGUUGGUAAUGCCCAAAGUCGGUGAGUUAACUUCGGAGACCAUUGCCUAAGGCAGGACUGAUGACUGGGGCGAAGUCGUAACAAGGUAUCCCUACGAGAACGUGGGGAUGGAACACCUCCUUUCUACGGAGUACAUUAGUCUUAAUUGACUUAUUACAUAAUCGAUUCGUGUCUAGUUUUGAGAGCUUUAAGUUCUCAAUUAUAGUUCUUUGAAAACUGAAUAGCAAAUAACAAUAUGAUUAACUUCAUAUUUAUUAUUUCAACGAUCUUUUUUAUAACCGAGUUUAAUUUUUAAAUUAAAUUUCUAAAAUAGAUUACCAAUAUUAAAAUACCUUAAGAUAUUUAUCUUUAGCAAUAAUAGGCAAUAUUAAAGUUGUAUUAACUUUUAAAUUAAGUAAGAGUAUUUGGUGGAUGCCUUGGGUCUGGAAGUCGAUGAAGGACGCGAUUACCUGCGAUAAGCUUCGUGGAGUUGGAAAUAAACUAUGAUACGGAGAUUUCCGAAUGGGGUAACCUAACUGAGCAAACCUCAGUUGCAUUUUGAUGAAUCCAUAGUCAAAUUAGCGAGACACGUUGCGAAUUGAAACAUCUUAGUAGCAACAGGAAAAGAAAAUAAAUAAUGAUUUCGUCAGUAGUGGCGAGCGAAAGCGAAAGAGCCCAAACCUGUAAAAAGGGGUUGUAGGACAUCUUACAUUGAGUUACAAAAUUUUAUGAUAGUAGAAGAAGUUGGAAAGCUUCAACAUAGAAGGUGAUAUUCCUGUAUACGAAAUCAUAAAAUCUCAUAGAUGUAUCCUGAGUAGGGCGGGGCACGUGGAACCCUGUCUGAAUCUGCCGGGACCACCCGGUAAGGCUAAAUACUAAUCAGA